CAGUCAAUUCCUGUUAGAAGUUUGAAUAAAGAGAAACAAACAACUAAUAUUUCCCAUUUAUUUACAUAUUGUAACAGGGAGUGUUGAUUUUAUGGAUGUUGGCAUGGAAGAAGUCUUAAAUAUGGUAGGUGUACAAACUAAGAAUGAUAUUUAUCAGAUGCUAUCGUUUUAACCGACCGUAUAAUUUGAAAAUCAUACUCAUCGUGAGUUGGGGAGAGUUUUCUUUUCUAUCAAUUCCAAAUGUAAUUAUUGGAAGCUGACUUUUUUUGCAUUAUUUCUAUUUGUUUUUCGUGAUUUUCACAUGCAGGUUUUUAUAAUAAUGUAACAAGAGUGCACACACCUUCUUUACUAGCAAUUGAAUUUAUGUUGAUAGACCUGUAUAUAAAGCUUUACUACAACUAUCACAUAUAUUAUUCAACUUACAAGAGUCAAGAAAAUGAGUUCAAGGUCAGAUAAACCGAACUAGAAAUAUAUGUCCAGCUUGCAAUCAUUCAAUACACCAAAUAUGCUUUAAAUAUAGAUGUCCUUUUGUAUAUACAGUUAACUCUCGUUGUCUCGAACUCGGUUAACUCGAAAUUUCAGAUGAGUCGAAGUUUUUCACGUGGUCCUGAACGUUGUUCCAUACAAAUGUAUGUAAUUCCACUCCUGAUGAAUGUAGUAUUUUUAAAAGAACAACCUUAACGAGGAAAACUUAGCAUUGAUAAAAGAACCAUGAAAAUGAGGUCAAUGUCAGAUGUACCUUACCAGGCAGACGUGUACACUUUACAAUCAUCAAAUGGUUUUAUGGUCGAUUCCACUGCUGGUGGACAUUUCGUCCCCGAUGGUAUCACCAGCCCAGUAGUCAACACUUUGGUGUUGACAUGAAUAUCAAUAAUGUGGUCAUUUUUAUAAAUUUCCUUUUUACAAAACUUUGAAUUUUUCGAAAAGCUAAGGAUUUUCUUACCCACAGUAUAGAUUACCUUAGCCGUAUUUGGCACAACUUUUUGGAAUUUUGGAUCCUCAAUGCGCUUCAACUUUGUACUAGAUUGGCUUUAUGAAUAUUUUGAUUUGAGCGUCACUGAUGAGUCUUAUGUAGACGAAACGCGCGUCUGGCGUACUAAAUUAUAAUCCUGGUACUUUUGAUAACAAUUAAAUAUAGUUGACCUAUUGCAUAUAGUAUCUAAGAAACAAACUUUACCUGAAAACUGAAAAUUGACCAAUGAAUUAUGAAAAUGAGGUCAUGGUCCGAUGAUAAUUUUCAGACAGACCUAUACAUCUUACAAUCAUUUCAAAUAAGGUAGAUAUAUUGCUUAAAGUACAGGAGAAAAGACACACAAAAAAAAACAAACUUAACAUUGAACAAUGAACGUAAAAAUGAGGUCACGGUCAAAUAAAACAUAUACCAAAUUAAUAUGUACACCGUAAUAUAUGUCCAUACAUCAAAUUUAGUUGACUAAUUGCAUACAGUGUUAGAAAAAUAGACCAACCUUAACCACUGAAAAUGAAAAUGAGGUCAAGGUCAGAUAUUUUAAUUUUUUGUCUUGCAUGUUUUUUGCAAAGUGAUUACAAUCCGGUUGUGGCUGCAACGAAGGCGUAAACUAUUUCUAUAAAUCUUCAUACGUGAUUUCAUAAAGUAGAAUAGCUGGAUUCGCCAUACCUUGUAUACAGAUACAUUAGGCUUAUACUAAGACUUUUGCUUCUGUCAUAUGUAUAAUGUGACUGUCUCUCACAUUAUUUUCAGUUUUGUGACUGCUCGAAAUCGAAUACAUUAUUUUGUCGAGUGAAAUACUUACUCAUUAUGAUGAUGGUUUCAUUAGUGAUAAGACUACUUUACUUUGUGAAAAGAGUGAUUGUUAAGUGUGAAUGUCUGUCCGGCAAUUAUCAUGUGACCAUGACCUCACUUUUAUGGUUCAUUGGUCAGUCCGAAUUUUUCCUGGCUUAGUUUGUUUUUUUAUAUUAUAUGCAAACGGUCAGACUUCAUCUUCAUAAAACAUUGAUGAUGUUUAAUGUAUGUGAUACUUGUAGUGAAAACAUCAUAUUACAGUCUUUCAACAUGAAUUCAAUGAUAUGAAGGAGAGACAUUUCAGCGUGUGUCUCUUGAUGUUUUUUUUCCCUAUUAUCUGAAAAUAUAAUAGAUUUCAAUUACAAAUACGUAGAAAGAUACACAAUAUAUAAAACAGCACACACCAUCCGCAAAAAAAAAAAAAAAACGAUCUACAUGUACCUCUAAGGAGACGUUGAACUAUGUUUUGCCUAUUUUUUUCUUCUUUUUUUUUAAUAUUACCUUUCAAACAAUUUUACAUAGAAACUGUACACAGAAAAAAAAUAUCAGCAAGGCAUGAUCUUCUAGAAAAUAAAGUGACGACUCAUUAUUAUCUUUAAACGACUCUACAAUGUUUAAAUAAUAAUAAAAAAAAAGAAGUAAAAAUUCAUUUUUUGCUGAUAUCUAAUGAUAUUUUCUGUAUUGAAUAAUGAAUGCAAAAUCAAAAUGGAUUUACAAGUCAUAAUUCAGGGUAAACGUUCACCAUAUGAUAUAAAUCUUUGUUAUUCAAGAAAGUGGAUUUUAAUUUGUGAAUAUCUUUGUAGACACAGACAGCUUAGUUAUGAUAGAUACUGGAAUGGAGGAAGAAUAAUAAAGAAAUGCUGCAAUUCAUUUCCAUAAAAUAAACAAAAAAUAAAUGCAAAUACUUAAGAAAUACAAAUUACGACUUUCUGUAAAUAUGAACAAAGAGGUGUUGGAUAUAUAUAUCAUUUAGAUAGCGUACAUUAAACACGACCAGAUCAAUGCUUGUUUUGGACCUGCUACAUCAUAUACUCCAGAAAGACGUCAUAUUUGUUUUUACAAAUACACCGUGUAGAACGACAC
rnacentral:lncRNA from 1 species